rnacentral:rRNA from 1 species
UACGUAGGGCGCAAGCGUUGUCCGGAAUUACUGGGCGUAAAGCGUGCGCAGGCGGUGAUGUAAGACAGUUGUGAAAGCCCCGGGCUCAACCUGGGAACUGCAUUUGAAACUGGCGGGCUUGAGUAUGGCAGAGGGGGGUGGAAUUCCGCGUGUAGCAGUGAAAUUCGUAGAUAUUCGGAGGAACACCAGUGGCGAAGGCGGCUCACUGGUCCGGUACUGACGCUGAGGUGCGAAAGCGUGGGGAGCAAACAGG